AGGGCGGUGCGCAGGCAUCGGAUACUUCCAUUUAUAACGGAGAGGUCGCGGGUUCGAAUCCCGUCCACCCUU
rnacentral:tRNA from 1 species